CGGAGGAUCCAAGCGUUAUCCGGAUUCAUUGGGUUUAAAGGGUGCGUAGGCGGGUUGAUAAGUCAGUGGUGAAAGCCCAUAGCUUAACUAUGGAAUUGCCAUUGAUACUGUUAAUCUUGAGUACAUUUGAUGUGGGCGGAAUAUGACAUGUAGCGGUGAAAUGCUUAGAUAUGUCAUAGAACACCGAUUGCGAAGGCAGCUCACAAAACUGUAACUGACGCUGAGGCACGAAAGCGUGGGGAUCAAACAGGAUUAGAUACCCUGGUAGUCCACGCCUUAAACGUUGAUAACUCGAUGUGUGCGAUACACUGUACGCGUCUUAGCGAAAGCUUUAAGUUAUCCACCUGGGGAGUACGACCGCAAGGUUG
rnacentral:rRNA from 1 species